UCCUCGAUAGCUCAAUCGGCAGAGCGAGCGGCUGUUAACCGCCAGGUUCCAGGUUCGAGUCCUGGUCGAGGAGCCU
rnacentral:tRNA from 1 species